rnacentral:rRNA from 1 species
GAUGAACGCUGGCGGCGUGCCUAAUACAUGCAAGUCGAGCGAACAGACGAGGAGCUUGCUCCUCUGACGUUAGCGGCGGACGGGUGAGUAACACGUGGAUAACCUACCUAUAAGACUGGGAUAACUUCGGGAAACCGGAGCUAAUACCGGAUAAUAUAUUGAACCGCAUGGUUCAAUAGUGAAAGACGGUUUUGCUGUCACUUAUAGAUGGAUCCGCGCCGCAUUAGCUAGUUGGUAAGGUAACGGCUUACCAAGGCAACGAUGCGUAGCCGACCUGAGAGGGUGAUCGGCCACACUGGAACUGCGACACGGUCCAGAGUCCUACGGAAGGAAGCAGUAGGGAAUCUUCCGCAAUGGGCGAAAGCCUGACGGAGCAACGCCGCGUGAGUAAUGAAGGUCUUCGGAUCGUAAAACUCUGUUAUUAGGGAAGAACAAAUGUGUAAGUAACUAUGCACGUCUUGACGGUACCUAAUCAGAAAGCCACGGCUAACUACGUG